AGUCGAACGCGAAUUGAUCCUUCGGGAGCCUAGUAGAGUGGCACACGGGUGUGUAACGCGUGGGUAAACGUACCUGAGUCUGGGAAUAGCCGUGGACACGAUGGCUAAUACCGAAUGUGGCGAACGACCGGUUGGUCGCUCGCUAAAGGUGGCCUCUUCUAUGCUGCCGUGUUGGGAUCGGCCCGCUGUCCAUUAGCUAGUUGGUGAGGUAACGGCUCACCAAUGCCACGAUGGGUAGCCGGCCUGAGAGGGUGUACGGCCACACUGGCACUGAGAGAAGGGCCAGUCCCCUAUGGGAGGCGCAGGCGGGAAUAGUUCACAAUGGGCGAAAGCCUGAUGACGCGACGCCGCGUGAGCGAAGAAGACCUUCGGGUUGUAAAGCUCUGUCAGGAGGGAAGAAGGCUCUACGGGUUAAUAGCCCGUGGAAUUGACGGUACCUCCAGAGGAAGCCCCGGCUAAAUACGUGCCAGCAGCCGCGGUAAUACGUAUGGGGCAAGCGUUGUCCGGAUUUACUGCGCGUAAAGGGCGCGUAGGCGGUUUGUUACGUCGAAGGUGACAUCCUCGGGCUCAACUCGAGAAUUGCCUUCGAUACUGGCAAACUAGAGU
rnacentral:rRNA from 1 species